rnacentral:rRNA from 1 species
GUAACCUGGCGGCGUGCUUACACAUGCAGUCGAACGAUGAACCUCACUUGUGGGGGGAUUAGUGGCGAACGGGUGAGUAACACGUGAGUAACCUGCCCUUGACUCUGGGAUAAGCCUGGGAAACCGGGUCUAAUACUGGAUACGACCUUCCCGCGCAUGCGGUGUUGGUGGAAAGCUUUUGCGGUUUUGGAUGGACUCGCGGCCUAUCAGCUUGUUGGCGGGGUAAUGGCCUACCAAGGCGACGACGGGUAGCCGGCCUGAGAGGGUGACCGGCCACACUGGGACUGAGACACGGCCCAGACUCCUACGGGAGGCAGCAGUGGGGAAUAUUGCACAAUGGGCGGAAGCCUGAUGCAGCGACGCCGCGUGAGGGAUGAAGGCCUUCGGGUUGUAAACCUCUUUCAGUAGGGAAGAAGCCGGCUUUCGGGUUGGUGACGGUACCUGCAGAAGAAGCGCCGGCUAACUACGUGCCAGCAGCCGCGGUAAU